AUGAACGUUGGCGGCGUGGAUUAGGCAUGCAAGUCGAACGAAUCCCUGGGGGCUUGCUUCCAGGGGAAAGUGGCGAAAGGGGCAGUAAUGCGUGGGUAACCUACCUUAGGGCCUGGCAUAGCCGUCCUAACGGACGGGUAAUUCCAGAUGAUGUGCGCAAGCACCAAAGGUUUACCACCCUUUGAGGGGCCCACGUGGUAUUAGCUAGUUGGUGAGGUAGCGGCUCACCAAGGCCAAGAUGCCUAGCGGGUGUGAGAGCACGACCCGCGCCACUGGCACUGUGACACUGGCCAGACUCCUACGGGAGGCUGCAGUCGAGGAUCUUCGGCAAUGGGCGCAAGCCUGACCGAGCGACGCCGCGUGCGCGAUGAAGGCCUUCGGGUUGUAAAGCGCUGUCGAGGGGGAGAAAGCCGCAAGGUUGAUCUAUCCCUGGAGGAAGCACGGGCUAAGUUCGU
rnacentral:rRNA from 1 species